GCCGGUGUGGCGGAAUUGGCAGACGCACAUGACUCAAAAUCAUGCGGGUAACACCGUGCCGGUUCGAGUCCGGCCACCGGCA
rnacentral:tRNA from 9 species